CCUGCAUUAAACCUUUCUUCUAGCCACAGCUCUGCUGUCAGUACAUUUUAUUAUGAUACUAUAAGCUCAGAAAUGAAGUUGAUCAAACAAUUCGAUCGGUGCUAUAAACAUUUAAAUGAACCGAAUAGAAAUCAGAAUAGAAACAUCUGAAUGAUCUUUCUUGGACAUAGCCUACAUUUUGAAGUGACCCUUUGAAUUAAAAAGGUUCCUCACCCCUGCUUUUGAGGAAAAACAUCCUUGUGCUUGGCCACUCUGGUUUUUAAAUUAUUCUGAACUAAAGCAAGGAUUGUUCAAGGAAGUUCAAAACAGACUGUCUCUGGUUAAAUUAGUUCUACACCAAGCCUUUAGGUGGCAGUACAACUAAUUCGCACAAUGCGAAUUCCACACACAAGCCACAAAGAAGCCAUCUACCGCGGUCAACAACACCGACCUAUCUGAACAGAACCACGCGCUGUCUGUGUGGUUUCACUGUUACAAGUUUCUUGGCGAUAUGGGGGAAAGUUCCUCACAUACCAACGGAAAAUGGGCUUCACAUACAUGCUGCUGUCUCAUAAUAUGGCGAAGACGAGUCACUUGAAGGCCUAACAGCUCUUAUGAGGAGCAGUCUUGCCAUAGAAGACUGAAAGAAUGUAAGAUUAACUUCUUUGUGACCAAUAUGACUUGCUCAUUGAUACAUUAGCUAUGUCAAUAUGAGAUGCAUGGCGAAGUAUUUAAUUUAUUUGUCUCUCUUCUAGGAGCUGUAGAAACAACAGGGUGCCUGCUGCAGUAUGACGAGGACGCCCUGAUCAUAGAAGGUCCAGUGUCUUGGCAGGGUGAAAUGGCACUGAUAUCGGUAUGUGGUGAUAUCAGUUAAAAUUAAUGAAUUAAUUCUCAUAUCUGAAUAAUGUGAACACUGGAUUUACCACACACUCACACACACCCUAGUCCUAGAUGAUACAACCAAGGUUACUUUUACCACAGCUCUGGCACUGCAUCAAAUUUCUUUUCUUUUUUAUAGAACUGGACAGGUCAUUUAUUCGUUCCCCUUGUUUUUUGCAGUGUCCUGCAGGAUGCUGUGUCCUGCAAUCCUGUGUGCUGUGCUACAGACGCGUGUGGAGGUCAACCCGAAAUGGGCACAGUAGAGUGAAAGAGGAUCCUGGCAGGGAGACGGUAGUGUCCUGCAGGAUGGUGAUGGGCAAUCUUACAAGAGACCACAGAAAACUGAUAUAGUGUAAGAUUAUCCCUGUUGGGCUCAAUAUGUCUUGCUUAUUGAUAUAUUUGCUAUGUCAAUAUGAGGUGCAUGACGAAGUAUUUAUUUAUUUGUUGUUUCUACAGCUCCCAGAAGUGAGACUGAGUGCCUGUUGCAGUAUGACGAGGAAGCAGUGACCAGAGACCUUCAGUAGACCCUGCUGGCAUGAUUGGCGGCUGAAGAACAUAAUCAACAGCAAUGUUUAUAAUAUUGUACAUACCUGUAUAGUCUGCACUAAAAUGCUGUACCUGUACUAUUUUUCCUCUUACUUUCAUAUUUACCACGUAUUUACUAUGAAUUGACAACUUUUACUCAAAUCCAUUUUUGUAUGUGCCCUGACUAAAACUAUCCUUAAACCUAACCUGUCAGAGGUGUAAUAACAACCUGCUCUUAGCAAUGUGGCAGCAGUCUACUUGGAUGCAGCGGGGAACAUAGAACCCUUUUUUUG